rnacentral:rRNA from 1 species
GCAGCAGCUGCGGUAAUUCCAGCUCCAAUAGCGUAUAUUAAAGUUGUUGCAGUUAAAACGCUCGUAGUCUGAUGUAAUGGGGACUGGUGUGGGGAGCAGCGAUGCUCUGUGCAGCGGUCCUCAUCAGGGGGCCAGCAAUGGCCCAGUUUACUUUGAGGAAAUUAGAGUGUUCAAAGCAGGCGAUUGCUUGAAUACUGCAGCAUGGAAUAAUGGAAUAGGACUCGCGUCUUAUUUUGUUGGUUUGGAGAUGUGAGUAAUGAUGAAUAGGGACAGUUGGGGGCAUUGGUAUUCAGUAGUCAGAGGUGAAAUUCUUGGAUUUACUGAAGACUAACUAGGGCGAAAGCAUUUGACAAGGAUGUUUUCAUUGAUGAAGAACGAAAGU